GGAGGGUGCAAGCGUUAUCCGGAUUUACUGGGUUUAAAGGGUGCGUAGGUGGGUAGGUAAGUCAGUGGUGAAAUCUUCGAGCUUAACUCGGAAACUGCCAUUGAUACUAUUUAUCUUGAAUACUCUGGAGGUAAGCGGAAUAUGUCAUGUAGCGGUGAAAUGCUUAGAUAUGACAUAGAACACCAAUUGCGAAGGCAGCUUACUACAUAGUUAUUGACACUGAGGCACGAAAGCGUGGGGAUCAAACAGGAUUAGAUACCCUGGUAGUCCACGCCCUAAACGAUGGAUACUCGACAUCAGCGAUACACUGUUGGUGUCUGAGCGAAAGCAUUAAGUAUCCCACCUGGGAAGUACGAUYKCWARAUUG
rnacentral:rRNA from 1 species